ACUUUCCUCCAUUGGAUAUAAAUAGCGCAUGCGCAAUCGGAACUUCCUAUUCGAAGAUGGAAAUAAUUGUUUACAAGACUCUCAAAACCAAAAAUUUUGUUUGCAAAUAGUAACUGAUGUGCCUUAUGAUGUAAAUUUUGGAUAUUGUGCUUUUCCAGGAAAAAUAUCCAAGCUACAUGAGGUUUCCUGAGAAAAGUGUUUGUCUCACAUGGAAAAGCCAUUGUCUAAGAUUAUACAUAUUAAGCACCAGUGUUCAGACAAAGGUUAACUUCCUAGAUAGACGAUUGAGGACCAAUAGUGUCAACGGAAAAAAAUCUACGCCAUGAAUAUUGCUUUAAGUAAUACUGGUUUAGAAAUGAUAAUGAAAUUCUGGUACAUUUUUUAUUGAUCGUGUGGUUUCAUGUAUUCUCCCAAAAUGAUGAUAUGAGAGAAUCAAUACACUUUUUACGUGUACAUGUACGUGUAAAUUCAGUAUCAUUGAAAGUUGGGUUAUACAAUGUACAUAUUUUGCUGUUUUAAUGUUUCUAAACGAUCAUAUUGCCUUGUUCAUAUUAAUAUUUAGAUGUUUUAGAAAUACUCAAUAAAAAGUCAGAGUCUAAUGUUAUGUCUUAAUUACUUUCAUAAUCAUUGAUAUUCAUUUUUAUUUAAUGUAUCAACAUC